GUACAUUGACACAAUACGUUCAUCAAACAGGAGAAUGUAUUAUAACAAAAUGGGGGUUACUGCCUAGGGGAGAAAAUCAUAAAUGAUGUCGUUCCGUUAUAUCUACCAACUGGAUAACAUUCAUUUUAUAAUUAAUUGUCAAAACGUGUUCAAUCAGAUUCUUGGUCACUAUCAGAUUCGUAGCAACUAUUAUUCGGUUGUUUUGAAGUUUAUAUAUCUAGUUUUUUAAAUAAUAAAAUGCAUAGUUUUAUCUAUUAAAUCCUGUUUAAACCGGGGGGAAUCUGCUUCUGUGGAACUCAAGGCUACACUUUAGUGUCGUUUAAGAAACGCCCCCUGGAACUCGCUCCCCCUCAAUUACCGCAGAGUUGUUCGAUGUGGCUCUUCAAUGGUCGGGGUCGCGGGGAAGCUGGAGCCUAUCUGUCAACCAUAGGGCGCAAGACAGGAACAAUUCCUGGAAACCAAUUACAUUUAGCAGCAUAUUUAGAUUUUGGACAAGAGGAGCUCCAGUUUUAAAGCGAGUUUUGCCACGUCCAGUGCAAGUACACAAGUUCACUGACAAACUUUGCACACUUAAAGGGGCUAAGGAACCGGUAUAACCGUCACCUGCCUACCCCAUUAUUGGUAAAAGACUGGCGAGAAAAUUGAGAAUCUGGAUGCAUUCUUGAAGAUGAUUAACUUAUUGAAGCCUUAAACUGCAAAACCAAGGAGGUUUUCUUGAAACGCCACUAUUAGAAAUUGGAUAGUGUAUGCACUGAAAUUUUCAGUUUUGUUUUAGUCCAGCAUAAUACCUACGAUGAAGAGAUGUGAGCUUUCAAAACAAGAACGGGAUAAAGUAGUUGAAUUGUAUAGAAGGGGAGCAGGUUAUAAGAUGAUUUCAAAGUCUUUAUUUAUCCCCCUGAGUACAGUGAAAUCCAUUGUGAAGAAGUGGGUUAUGUAUCAGACUACUGAGACAUUGCCAAGAUCAGGCCGUCCUGCCAAACUAACUGCCCGGCUAAACAGGAAGCUCAUUAAGGAAGCAACUAACAGACCAACUGUAACUUUGAAAGAUCUGCAAGAUACUAUGUCUCAGAUGGGAGUAAAUGUUCACACAUCAACAAUAUCUCGGUCCCUCCACAAAGCGGGACUUUGUAAAGUCAUGUCAAAAAAGAGGGAGCUGUUGAAAAAGACCCCUCUUAAAAACGUUUCCAAGGAGACAAAACAAAACCUGGAAAGUUCAGGUUAAAUUGGAAAUGUUUCCUCCUUUUCAUGUAUGAUAGCUUUGUGUUUCAAAGAUUAACAUUUAAACUGAUGAAGCCCAGUUGUGAUCCAAAUUUAGAAUUAAAAUUCAUUUUAAUUUUGGAUGGGUAUAUCUAAAAAUUAGAGUCCCAUCCACGUGGUCCAAAAGACGGUAUAACUGUGUUGUAGUUACAGGUCUUUUUUCAGGUGAGGGUAAUGAAAAAAGUGACCUUUUUUUUUUUUUUUUUUUUUUGACUGGGGACACCCUGAUGAUUUUGCACCAAAUUUAGUUCCUGCUAAAAGUGCACUUAAGAAGUUGCUCGUAAUUUAUUGGAAUGGCAUUUCCAAGAUGGAUUCAUUUGUGAUUGACUAAAAGCAGUUCCUUAAAGGAUACACUACCGGUCAAAUGUUUUAGAACACCUCAGGCUCAUCCCACAGGGUGUUCUUAAGCCGUCGAGUUGAUGAAAGGUUGGUUCCUCAGUGUGUGAUACCAACUGUCAAAACAUGGAGGAAGAAGUGUGACACCCUGGAGUUAUUUUGCUGGAGGCAGAGCGGGUGUCUUGCACAGAGUGACUGGCACUCGGAGUCAAAGUGGUUACCACGGUUUGGCUGUUAUAUUAGCAAGAGGUGACUACUUUGAUGAACCAAACAUUAACACAAUUUUGUACACUUGAUUCCUUGACCUCCUUUUUUUUUUUUUUU